GUGAUGACAAGGCAUUUAUGGCCUCAUAUGGCCGGCGCUGGAACAGCUGA
rnacentral:snoRNA from 1 species